rnacentral:misc_RNA from 1 species
UCUCCGUUGGUGAACCAGCGGAGGGAUCAUUACAGAGUUAUCUAACUCUCAAUCCCAUGUGAACUUACCAUUUGUUGCCUUGGCAGAGCCUACUCGGUAACUGUUCGGAGAAGCUACCCUGUAGCUACCCUGUAACGGCCUACCCUGUAACGCACUGCCGGUGGACUUUUAAACUCUUGUUAUUUUAUGUAAUCUGCACGUCUUAUUUUAAUAAGUCAAAACUUUCAACAACGGAUCUCUUGGUUCUGGCAUCGAUGAAGAACGCAGC